rnacentral:rRNA from 1 species
AGAGUUUGAUUCUGGCUCAGAACGAACGCUGGCAGCGUGGAUUAGGCAUGCAAGUCGAACGAUAACCUCAUGAUUCAAUUCUUCGGAAAAGUAUCUUGAGGGGACAGUGGCUGAAGGGUGAGUAACGCGUGGGUAACCUACCCUUGAGUUGGGGACAACAUUCCGAAAGGAGUGCUAAUACCGAAUGUGGUAUCUUGUCGUAGGGCGAGAACACUAAAGAUGGGGAUUCUUCGGAACCUGUCGCUCGAGGAGGGGCCCGCGUCCCAUCAGCUUGUUGGUAAGGUAAUGGCUUACCAAGGCAUACGGGUAGCCGGCCUGAGAGGGUGAUCGGCCACACUGGGACUGAGACACUGCCCAGACUCCUACGGGAGGCUGCAGUCGAGGAUCAUUCGCAAUGCGCGAAAGCGUGACGAUGCGACGCUGCGUGGAGGAUGACGGCCUUCGGGUUGUAAACUCCUGUCAUGAGGGAAAAACGGCCAUAGGGUUAAUAGCCUUAAGGUGUGAUGGUACCUCAAGAGGAAGCCACGGCUAACUCUGUGCCAGCAGCCGCGGUAAUACAGAGGUGGCGAGCGUUGUUCGGAUUUACUGGGCGUAAAGGGUGCGUAGGUGGUAAUGUAUGUCGGACGUGAAAUCCCGAGGCUCAACUUCGGGAUUGCAUCCGAAACUGCAUAACUUGAGUGCAGGAUGGGAGAGCGGAAUUCUUGGUGUAGCGGUGAAAUGCGUUGAUAUCAAGAAGAACACCGGUGGCGAAGGCGGCUCUCUGGAAUGUUACUGACACUGAGGCACGAAAGCUGGGGGAGCAAACAGGAUUAGAUACCCUGGUAGUCCCAGCCGUAAACGGUGCACACUUGGUGUUGGAGGUAUUGACCUCUCCAGUGCCGGAGCUAACGCGUUAAGUGUGCCGCCUGGGGAGUACGGCCGCAAGGCUAAAACUCAAAGAAAUUGACGGGGGCCCGCACAAGCGGAGGAGCAUGUGGCUUAAUUCGAUGCAACGCGAAGAACCUUACCAGGGCUUGACAUGGGGACCCUUCGGGGGUGGGUGUGAAAGUACCCUUUACCACCACAGGUGCUGCAUGGCUGUCGUCAGUUCGUGCCGUGAGGUGUUUGGUUAAGUCCAGCAACGAACGCAACCCCUGUGGCUAGUUGCCACCGCCGGUGGUAAGCCGGCGAGCACUUUAGUCAGACUGCCCGUACAAGCGGGAGGAAG